rnacentral:lncRNA from 1 species
AGCAAGUCCUCAUUCUCUUUGCCAGGCUUUACGUAUAUCAGACACCCUGUCAAUUGAAUUAGGCUAAGAUGAGUCCAAACGAUACUUCAAACUAUUCUCUAAGACACCUGAAAACAACAAAUGAGCAUUUCUGGGAAAUGCUAGAAAUGAAUAGAAACCCAGAGAUCUCCUCUUCUCAUCACUGGGAUGGUCUUUAUCUAGACUCUGCCCACAAUGUUGAUGGGGAUGAGGAAAACAUCUACGUGAGGGUGGCCUGUGUCCUCGCUCCUGUUACCCCCUGCCUGAAUUACGUGGUGUUCAUGAAAGCCUGGAAUAGGGACAAAUGCUGUCUCACAGAUAACUUCAAUUCUACCAGAGAAGAAAAUAUAAUUGGAGAGUCCAGUGUUCUGUGUAACUUAUUUAGCAAUUUCUACUCUGAUUCUGCUGAUGCCCUGCACUGCAAGAUCUUGGAUGGCAGGAGAGGCAGUGCUGCAGAGAACAAACUGAUGCUUGCUUGGUGGUGAAGAUCUGGACAAACUGGAACGAAAGUAAUGAAAUGACAAAACCACGCUUGGAAAUUUUUAAGCUGGAUAAUUAAUGUGAGAUAUUUCAAACUUCUAUGUCAAAUCAACAAUCCUAUCAACUAUCUUUAUUUCUUUCUCUCUCAUUCUUUUGCUCUGCGUCUUUUCAGAUGCCCCUUUCUCCCUAUUUCCAUUUGUCUUGCCAUUUCCACGUAUACCAUCCAAGCAAUGUAGUGAAUAUCAUUUCAAGUUCUUUUCGAUCUACUUAUUUGCUAAUCCAAUGAUGUCACAAGUACUUGAUUCUGAAUUAUCAAUUGUAGUUUAACCUUUCCACAAAUGAAAGAAGAGUCUCUUUAAUGUAAGCCUGAUUUCCAAUCUAAUAACUAAAAAGCAAUGUCAUGCUUAAAUCGACUCUCUGUAAUCCUCCAAAUGAGGUAGAGAGAUUAGAAGGAACAGGAAUUAAUAGAUCAUGGAUAUUGAAUGAGUAAAAUGUUCUUUAAUUUAAUUCAUACUUCAGCUCUGAUGGACUCUGAUAGCAUGUGAAAGCUUAGGAAUGGAAAAGCAUAAAGGGUGAAAACAUGACUGAUAACAGCUUUGAAGUUCAACAUUGUACAGGCAAACGGAAAAAAAGAAAAGUGCUGUGUUGAGUGACAGCAUAUAUACCAGAGUAAAGCAAAGAGUAACAUUAAAAAAAAUAAACACCAACAUUUUAUUGUUUUUUUUAAAAUU